rnacentral:misc_RNA from 1 species
UCUCUCUCUCUCUCUCUCCCUCUCGAUUUUCUGCAUCUUUCUCUGCAAUUUUCUUCUGUUUGAUUCACUCUGUACCAUAUCAGAGUUUCGAUUUUAUCUGCAUUUGCUUCCUUUCUCUUCAUAGAGAAAAAACAGGAAUCUUUUUUGCUCGUCGUUUUCCUUUAAAAUCCUGUAUUUUUCUCUCUUUUGGAUUCUUUUGGAUAUCUCUUCAUUUAUUGAGUACUGGAAUUUUUUGUAAUAAAAAUCAGAAGGGGAAAAACAUCU